AGCAGCCGACGCCGAGAGGCACCGUUUCUUCUUAAAAGAGAAACGCUGCGCGCGCGAGCCUCUGGUGCACAUGGCUUCCUCCCCGGCGGUGGACGUGACCUGCAGGCGGCGGGAGAAGCGGCGGCAGCUGGACGCGCGCCGCAGCAAGUGCCGCAUCCGCCUGGGCGGCCACAUGGAGCAGUGGUGCCUCCUCAAGGAGCGGCUGGGCUUCUCCCUGCACUCGCAGCUCGCCAAGUUCCUGUUGGACCGGUACACUUCUUCAGGCUGUGUCCUCUGUGCAGGUAGGUAGGGGAUGGCAGGGGGUGAGAGCCAGAGGGAAGAGGGACCACAGGGUGACCCAGAAACACCCUCCUUUCAAAGGGAGCCCUGAGUAAGUUUGGGAAGGGUGGGGUGAGUUGGGGAGCACAGGGUAGUUUGAUGGCAGCAACCUCUGGGUGGGGAAGGGAGCAAUGUCUCAGGAUCUAGUGUGUCUAGGUUCUGAAGAAUGAUAAAUUGGACUGGGGCUGAGGUUGCCCUGGGGUUUGAGGGAACAGGGCUCCCUGGGUAUGGCUC
rnacentral:sRNA from 1 species